rnacentral:rRNA from 1 species
UACGAAGGGGGCUAGCGUUGUUCGGAAUCACUGGGCGUAAAGGGCGCGUAGGCGGCUUUAUAAGUCGGGGGUGAAAGCCUGUGGCUCAACCACAGAAUUGCCUUCGAUACUGUAUGGCUUGAGACCGGAAGAGGUAAGUGGAACUGCGAGUGUAGAGGUGAAAUUCGUAGAUAUUCGCAAGAACACCAGUGGCGAAGGCGGCUUACUGGUCCGGUUCUGACGCUGAGGCGCGACAGCGUGGGGAGCAAACAGG